CUCUUGACCAACUGUCAAACCCCACACAAAUCCAACCCCUCCGUCCUUGUUCCCCUGUUCUGUCUCUUCCUCUCACUUCUCACUUCACUUCCAACUUCACUUAACUUGCUCUCUCUCUCUCUCUCUCUCUCUCUCUCCACCAUGAAACCACUGCCACUACCGCCAUUCUUCCUCUUGCCCCUCUUCCUCUUUUGCACCACCGCUGCCACUGUAAAUGCUACCAAACCAGCCACCCCCACAGCCCCUACACUCUCCCCUACUCCCUCUCCCACAUCCUCCCCUACUCCACCCACCAACACAACUCCCUCUUCUUCCCGCUCAACUCUAGAUCCCAAACAGAUAGAAGCACUCCAAUCCCUCGACAUCCCCACCACUAGAGACCCUUGCAUCCAACCUUCCCCUCAUAACGCCACCAUCUGUGACAGCUCCAAGCCCUUCCGCCAUCUCAUCUCCCUCCAUCUCUCUAACUGCUCCACCGACCUUUCCCUCUCCUUCACAGCUCUCAAGUCCCUAUCUUCCCUCCGCUCUCUAUCCUUCACCAACUGCCACGCUUCCCCCAUCCGUUUCCCUUCCGAUCUCUCUCUCUCCCUCACUUCCUUCUCCUGCAUUCGCUCUCUCCGCCGCCUCCCCGGGGUCUGGCUCUCACGUUUCGUUAACCUCACUGAUCUCACAGUCUCCUAUACUCCAGUUAACACCAGCGGCCUUUAUGUAAUCAUUGGAAACAUGCAUAAGCUGAAGACAGUCACCAUUUCUCAUGCUAAUCUUACAGGCUAUCUUCCAAGGCACGUGCAUCUGAAUCUGACUCAUGUUGAUUUAUCUGAUAACAAGCUCAAGGGAAGGAUACCAACUUCCUUUACGCUUCUUGAAGAUCUUGAGUACUUGAAUCUUUCUUCAAAUGGGCUAAAUGGGGAGAUUCCCACUGAGUUUGGUGACUUGAUAUCGUUAAAGAAUCUAUCUUUGGCUUCCAAUUCGUUUUCUGGGCCAAUCCCAGAUUCCAUGUCAGCUAUUCCAGGCUUGGUUCAUGUUGAUCUGAGUAAUAACCAGUUGAAUGGGACUGUUCCGAGGUUUUUCACAGAAUUGAAAGGGUUGAAAGUCUUGAAUCUUGAGAAAAAUCAGUUUCAUGGGGUUUUGCCUUUCAAUGCUAGUUUUAUAAAGAGAUUGGCUGUUUUCAAGGUUGGUGGGAAUGACAAUUUGUGUUACAAUCAUUCUGUUUUGUCAUCAAAAAUGAAGCUUGGAAUUGCUCCCUGUGAUAAGCAUGGAUUGCCGCUGUCGCCCCCGCCUUCUAAGGAGUCUUCUGGAGAUAGUGAAAGUGACUCUUCAGAUUAUGAUGAUGACGGAGAUGAUUCAAGUGACAAGAAGGAGCACCAUCACGGGCCAAGUAAGGUAUCGAUGGCAAGUUGAGACAAAAAAGUAAACAAUCAGCUUUCGCCUUUGACAACUACCAAGUGUCUUUUGCAACUACUGGCCUAGAUAUUGUUUCUCAUUUCUGCCGACGCCUGCAGCUGUCUCCGAUUCUUGAAUUGUCCUCAAACCACAAAUAGCUGUUGCUCUUUUACUUGUUUUUUUUGCACAAGUGGCCAGUAUUUAGGGUCAAAAACUAGGAUCUUCUCCAGAACCCUUUCUCAAUCCGACCACUUGAGCUGAAUUGAAGUUGCCAAUGUUUCUUUAUAUGCAUUGCAAGCUCUGAGUCACAGAGUGCAGAAAUUUGUUGUUUGCUUCAUAUUGUGCUGAUGGGAAAGGUGAUUUUCUUUAGUAUGUGGGCAGGCCUUCUAGACAAUCUUCUCUCCUAUUUUGAACUUGGAGAUAAUGACAACAGCCAAGUUGUUGGUGUUGUAUGAAUUUCUACUUUUUAAAUUAUAGGGAUGGAAAAUGAUGAUACAUUAUGACAGAUCCAACUGUAUGGUUUCUGUAAUAGUUUGAUGGUUGGGUCGUAGCUGCUGGUUUAGCUGUGUUCUGGCUUGAUUAGGUACUUUAUUUUGAAGUUCCAUGCUCCUUUUAGCACUCACAAUGGACCACACCAUGUGGAUGGAUGGCCAGAGCCAACAAACGUGGUCAAGUUGCAAAGAUUUUCCCUUUACUCGAAAUAACAUAUGCAGGCAUGCCGUACAUUAUGGCAAGCUUUCGUUUAUAAAUUGUCAGGACAAAUACAAAUCAAGAAAGCUCUUGGGGAAGGCAUGAUAAAUGGCUGUGUAUUGGAUCCACAAUCAUUAAGAAAACGGAUGCUCAAACCAUGUUGCUCAACAAACGAAGUGAUGAUAAUCAUGGCCAUCAUCAUCUUCUCAAUACUUUAAUCAUUUGAAUUAAACUCUCUUUUUCUUCUUUAAAUGCCACUCAGUCUUUUUUCUUCUUGAGA